CCUACGGGAGGCAGCAGUGGGGAAUAUUGCACAAUGGGGGAAACCCUGAUGCAGCGACGCCGCGUGAGUGAAGAAGUAUCUCGGUACGUAAAGCUCUAUCAGCAGGGAAGAAAAUGACGGUACCUGACUAAGAAGCCCCGGCUAACUACGUGCCAGCAGCCGCGGUAAUACGUAGGGGGCCAGCGUUAUCCGGAUUUACUGGGUGUAAAGGGAGCGUAGACGGCAGCACAAGUCUGGAGUGAAAUCCCGGGGCUUAACCCCGGAACUGCUUUGGAAACUGGGCGGCUGGAGUGGAGGAGGGGUAAGCGGAAUGCCUAGUGUAGCGGUGAAAUGCGUAGAUAUUAGGAGGAACACCGGUGGCGAAGGCGGCUUACUGGACUGUAACUGACGUUGAGGCACGAAAGCGUGGGGAGCGAACAGGAUUAGAUACCCGAGUAGUC
rnacentral:rRNA from 1 species